AUUGAACGCUGGCGGCAGGCCUAACACAUGCAAGUCGAGCGGUAGAGAGGUGCUUGCACCUCUUGAGAGCGGCGGACGGGUGAGUAAUACCUAGGAAUCUGCCUGGUAGUGGGGGAUAACGUUCGGAAACGGACGCUAAUACCGCAUACGUCCUACGGGAGAAAGCAGGGGACCUUCGGGCCUUGCGCUAUCAGAUGAGCCUAGGUCGGAUUAGCUAGUUGGUGAGGUAAUGGGCUCACCAAGGCUACGAUCCGUAACUGGUCUGAGAGGAUGAUCAGUCACACUGGAACUGAGACACGGUCCAGACUCCUACGGAGGCAGCAGUGGGGAAUAUUGGACAAUGGGCGAAAGCCUGGAUCCAGCCAUGCCGCGUCGUGUGAAGAAGGUCUUCGGAUUGUAAAGCGACUUUUAACGUUAGGGGUA
rnacentral:rRNA from 1 species